rnacentral:lncRNA from 1 species
CCAGUUUUAAAUUACUAAAAUUCACGUAAAAAUUUAAAACUAAAAAGUUUCAAAUCCUUGAAUACUUUAAAACCUCAAAAUUUCUAAACAGUCUCACGUUCGAAUACAAAUAAUACAAUAAAUCACUAAGCGGAAGCAAAAUUUUAAAGUGUCCCCUGUGGCGAUCACGCUUCCUUCCUGCCCCUCGCCGGUUUGCCGCCUUUAUUACCUUUGCCUGAAAAAUUAAACAUAAGGAGGGUGAAUAUAAAAAUACCCAGUAAGCGACCCUCUACUGGUCCCGUCAGGGAAAAAUAAAUUGUUAACAUUCUAUUGGGACACCCUGCACAGUCGCAGUCUUGUGAUCCGUAGGAUGCACAUUUCAGUCUAACGCCCCGAGAGACGUACAUUUCAGUCUAGUGUUCUGCAGAAACACAUAUCAGUCUAAUGCUCCGAAGGUCGCAUAAAAAUUGGUGAUCCCGUAGGACACCUACAAGGCAUACAUCCCAAUAAAACUAACAAUUUUUCCCCUCAAUCCAUUCUAACUAUCUUUACGAUAAUUUAUGACAUCUUUCAGUUACUUCAAAUAUCAAGUUCUUUCACUCAACAUUCUAACAGUCAACCUAUCUCACUUAAGUUCGAAGGUCGUUGAUAACAUUUUAAUACAUCCGUCAAGUAAACCACAAAGUCACAACACCCCUCAUUUUACCAGCGCAAACCACAGUUCAUUAUAACACACACCCAACUGAAACAAAUUCACCAAUUCACAUCCAAAAUUUUAUACAGCACAGUCUACUAAUAUCAUCCUAUCUACAUCCACACCUGCAUGUUUAAUCCCAGACAAUCUCCAUAUAUAUUCAACAUCAAAUCUGCGUCAAUUUAUGUAUAUGCAUAAUUUCAGUCAUUCACAGUAUACAUUCAACAAUCCACAUCAAUCCAUUCAUAAAUAUAUGUAUAUUAUAUAUAUAUAUAUAUAUAUAUAUAUAUAUAUAUUUCCAGUUAAACACAAUAUACACUAAACAUUUAAUCUGCAACCAAAUGUGUAUAUCAUAACCAUCAUCUUUACUAAGUUUCGAUAUAAGGAUAUCGUCCAACACAACUGAAAACUUUAGGUGAGUCCAGUAGAAAGUCCCUUACCUCAAGUUUACGUAAAGUUCUUUAAUCGUACUAAAUCCAAUAAAUUAAAUUCCAAGUAGAAUGAAACAACAAUUCCAAUGAAGCUCACUUCGAAACAUAGAUAUCAAGCACGACUCUCCAAUAUCACCUUAAAAUCAAGCAAUACCCAAAUCAAUUAAUCAAUUUAAAACUUACGCUAGCCAAGAACAAUACUACUAAAUCCACAAUUUCUCCUUACCAAUGAAAUCACAACAUAACUUUGACGAUUGACAAUAAAAUAGAAUCAGCGACAAUCGAAUGAAAUUGAUGCGUGCAAAACAGAUAUGCACUACAAUAAAGAUGGACGUCAGACCGCGACUGGAAAACGGGGAGUUGCGCGACAGAUGAGGACUUCACGAUGCACAACUGUUGGAUGCUACACGGCUCGUAUCUGAACGACGAGCGUCGGCAAAACUAUUGGGACGGGGCUACCGGUGGGGACACGGCGUUGGGACGGGGCUACCGAUGGGGACACGGCGUUGCAGAUCUGGACAACGGCACGGAGAGACACGGCGUUACAGGCGGAUGGGCGCGGCGGUUUUAGAUUCAAGAAGAAAGAAGUGUGGCGACUGGGUUUCAGUUUCGGUGAACGAAAUGUGACGAAAAUCACGGCGGCUGGACUUCACGAUGGAGACCGGUGUAGACGUAGCCGGAGAACGACAAGGUGAGAGGGACGUGACGCCGAUGACACCAACCGACGACGACGACGACUUCAACUUCAAUGGAAGAUCGAGACGAUCGGCGGUCGACUGCAGAUCUGAAAGGAAAGAAAAGGAAAAAGAAAAAGAAAGAUGGGGGAGGCUAUGGAGGCUAGGGUAUUGGAUGAAGUAGGAGAAGAAGAGAAAAAAAAAAAAAGAAGGAAGAAGACGGGGAAGGGUCACGCGCGGGAGAGAGGAAGAGAGA